AUGCAAGACCCGGUUAUGGUGGCCACUGGGCAGACUUACGACCGAGGCAGCAUAGUGAGAUGGUUGGACGCCGGGCACGACACUUGUCCGAGAACGCAGCAGAAGCUUGUUAACAAAUCUCUAACUCCAAAUUAUGCUCUUUACGGCCUGAUUGUCCAAUGGUGUCGAGCAAACGGUUUGGAGCAGCCGAAACGCUCGGCUCAAGUUAGCAGUGAUGACAGUGAUGCAAUGCCGGCAUCACUUGCCUAUUCUGAGCAAGAUGUAGUUGCCAGCCUUGUUCGGAGACUAUCAGAUUCCCAAAAUGUUGUAGGCCAGCGUGAAGCUGCCGGUACGCUUUGUCUUCUUGCCAAGGGCAAUUCUAAAUAUCAAGCGUGUAUAGGAGAUUCUUGCGGCAUUCCUAUCCUGGUGAGCCUGUUGUGGAUAGAUGAUAUCAGCACCCAGGAACAUGUUGUUACUGCUCUCCUGGAUUUAUCUGUUUCUAAUUACGAGAACAAGGAAAAAUUGGUCUUGGCCGGGGCUAUUCCUGGAGUUGUGUACGUGCUAGAGACGGGCAGCAUGGUUGCCCGGGAGAAUGCUGCCGCAAUGUUGUCCAGCCUAUCCACUGGGAAAGAAAGCGAGCUGAUCAUUGGGGCUGCCGGAUCAAUUCCGCCUCUCAUUCUGCUGUUGACUAGUGGGAGUCAACAGGGUAAAAGGAAUGCUUCGCGAACACUAAUGGGUCUGUUCGUCGAGCCAGACAACAAGAGUAUAGCUAUUAGAGCUGGGUUCGUCCCUGUACUGCUAGAGCUUCUAACAGGAACUGAUGAUGGAAUCGGUUCCAUCUUUAUGUUGGAAAUUCUGUAG
rnacentral:rRNA from 1 species